CCGCAUGGUUCAAAAGUGAAAGACGGUCUUGCUGUCACUUAUAGAUGGAUCCGCGCUGCAUUAGCUAGUUGGUAAGGUAACGGCUUACCAAGGCAACGAUGCAUAGCCGACCUGAGAGGGUGAUCGGCCACACUGGAACUGAGACACGGUCCAGACUCCUACGGGAGGCAGCAGUAGGGAAUCUUCCGCAAUGGGCGAAAGCCUGACGGAGCAACGCCGCGUGAGUGAUGAAGGUCUUCGGAUCGUAAAACUCUGUUAUUAGGGAAGAACAUAUGUGUAAGUAACUGUGCACAUCUUGACGGUACCUAAUCAGAAAGCCACGGCUAACUACGUGCCAGCAGCCGCGGUAAUACGUAGGUGGCAAGCGUUAUCCGGAAUUAUUGGGCGUAAAGCGCGCGUAGGCGGUUUUUUAAGUCUGAUGUGAAAGCCCACGGCUCAACCGUGGAGGGUCAUUGGAAACUGGAAAACUUGAGUGCAGAAGAGGAAAGUGGAAUUCCAUGUGUAGCGGUGAAAUGCGCAGAGAUAUGGAGGAACACCAGUGGCGAAGGCGACUUUCUGGUCUGUAACUGACGCUGAUGUGCGAAAGCGUGGGGAUCAAACAGGAUUAGAUACCCUGGUAGUCCACGCCGUAAACGA
rnacentral:rRNA from 1 species